rnacentral:misc_RNA from 1 species
UAGUAGUGGCCUACAGCACAGAGG